GGGGGGGCUCAGGGUAAAGACCCUCCAGGGAAGGUGUCCUGCUUCUGGCUACUAUCCCGUGUCUGGUCAUGGGAACCUUACCCUGUGAGUUUACCAGGAGCCUGACAGCAAGAUCAGUUUCUGCAGUGUGAUGGCCCAAGCACAGACCUGAUCUGGGAACGCAAAACUCCAGUUGCAGGAAACAUCCACAGAGAAUGAGUCUAGGCACCCACCUGUGCACCUGAGCUCCUCCAGCCAAGGGAGGAGCCAGAAGCAGCCACAGCAAGAUAUUGCUGGAUCCCAGCUUUGUUCCUCCGCUGCCCAGGAGUCUCAGGCACAGCUCAGCUGGCAGGAAAGGCC
rnacentral:lncRNA from 1 species